ACUGACACUUUUCGGACUCAGCCUGCCUGCACCCAGGUGAUUAAAAGCUUUAUUGCUCACACAAAGCCUGUUUGGUGGUCUCUUCACAUGGAUGCGCAUGAAAUUUGGUGCGGUGACUCGGAUCGGGGGACCUCCCUUGGGAGAUCAAUCCCCUGUCCUCCUGUUCUUUGCUCCGUGAGAAAGAGCCACCUACGACCUCAGGUCCUCAGACCAACCAGGCCAAGAAACAUCUCACCAAUUUCAAAUCCGUGGGUUCUUCAGCAUCGCCCACUCUGUUGCUGGAGACCACCCAUUGUGCCCUUGGAUGGCGUGCCCAAUAUCCUUGGCCAGCUGGCUGCAUUCCCCACUCAGCUACUGAUUGUUGAUUGUUGUGCUUCACGAACUUCCCGCUGAGCGUCCUCUCAUCCUGGGGUGGAGAGCAGGCCCAUCACGGGGCUCCCACCUGCCUGCCUGCCAUACUGUCCAUGCCAGUGCCUGAGAAACACCGCCUCUGCUCCACUUUCAGUGGGAACCAGCGUUUUGCACCCCCCUCCAUAGCCUUUUCUCUUCACUCUACCACCUGAAGCAAUUCCCACUGGGCCGCUUCUUCACCUUUAAGUUUUCCAGGAGAAGACAAGGAGAUGGAGAGACUGUCAACCUAGAACCAGUAAUGACCAGUUCCAACUUAAUUACAGAAAGGGAGAAAAGAUCAAUCAUUUAAGUUGCUUCAUCGUCUAAAUAAAAGUGUUUUGGCUGUUGAAACAUGAA
rnacentral:lncRNA from 1 species